GCAAUCAGCUCACCCUGUUUGGCCCUGAAAAUCAACUCCUCAAUUACCCUUUUUACGGUGAUUGGUUUACCGGAUGCGGACGCAAUUUCUUGUUCUACAAUAUAACUAGAUUGGACUGGGGCAGUGCCUGGGACCUUUGCUGCAGUUUGGGUUUGACCCUGACCUCCUUGGAGUCCAAAGAUAAAACAAAAUGCUUUUCUAAACUUGUCACGAGAUACGCCCGGUUCACUGUAGGCGACUAUUGGCUCUCUGGAACCGACCUAGGUUGCGAUUCAAACUUUCGGUGGUGCUCUCUGGGCCGCGAUUUCGUCGACCCUGAGCUCAGGUGGAAGCAGGGACACCCGAAAGCAGGACUGGACUGCGUUUACGUCGAGGCAAGAAACGGAUCGGUGGUGUUGGCCACCGCGAAUUGCGAUGAGCAGAAGUGGUCCGUAUGUGAAGUGCGCAAAAAGGGCACCAGCCAGGUUGCUUUGCAGAACGAAUGCCUGGAAACCUGGCAAAUCA